ensembl:lncRNA
CAUCCCCCCAAUCACUGUACCGACGAGGAAGAGAGAUAGAGAGGCAGGGAGAGAGAGAGAGAGGAGGGAGAUAGAGAGAGAGGGAGAGAGAGAGAGGUUGUAAAAGACAGACAGAAGCCCCAUAAUGCACUGCACGGUGCAGGACUGAAGUCGUGCAGAUUCAUCAGUUCCUGCUUGGAGGGAUUGUGUGUGAGCACCCACACACACACACGCAUACACAAACACACACACAGAAGCGUGCGUGCGGUCCGACAGCAGAUUGAGGCGAAGAGAAAGACACAGAAUAGCAGGCAGAGAGAAGUGCCUUCUAGCGUUGACCCCUGUGGCUGUUCGGCUGCCCUGACCCGGCCUCCUCCUCCUCCACCUCCUCCUCCUCUGCCUGUGUGCCUGUCUCCUUCUGCUGGAGGCGCUGGUGUGGAGGAGCCCCUGGGAGACCCCCCUCCCCAACCCCGGGACCGCUGGGACCGCUGAGCCUGCCCUGCCGAGCGACGCGCCGCCCCCCAAUCCCCCC